AUUGAACGCUGGCGGCAGGCUUAACACAUGCAAGUCGAGCGGGGUGAUGGUGCUUGCACUAUCACUUAGCGGCGGACGGGUGAGUAAUGCUUAGGAAUCUACCUAUUAGUGAGGGACAACAUCUCGAAAGGGAUGCUAAUACCGCAUACGUCCUACGGGAGAAAGCAGGGGAUCACUUGUGACCUUGCGCUAAUAGAUGAGCCUAAGUCGGAUUAGCUAGUUGGUGGGGUAAAGGCCUACCAAGGCGACGAUCUGUAGCGGGUCUGAGAGGCUGAUCCGCCACACUGGGACGGAGACACGGCCCAGACUCCUACGGGAGGCAGCAGUGGGGAAUAUUGGACAAUGGGGGGAACCCUGAUCCAGCCAUGCCGCGUGUGUGAAGAAGGCCUUAUGGUUGUAAAGCACUUUAAGCGAGGAGGAGGCUCUUUUGGUUAAUACCCAAGAUGAGUGGACGUUACUCGCAGAAUAAGCACCGGCUAACUCUGUGCCAGCAGCCGCGGUAA
rnacentral:rRNA from 1 species